GGGGAAUAUUGCACAAUGGGGGAAACCCUGAUGCAGCGACGCCGCGUGAAGGAAGAAGUAUUUCGGUAUGUAAACUUCUAUCAGCAGGGAAGAAAAUGACGGUACCUGACUAAGAAGCCCCGGCUAACUACGUGCCAGCAGCCGCGGUAAUACGUAGGGGGCAAGCGUUAUCCGGAUUUACUGGGUGUAAAGGGAGCGUAG
rnacentral:rRNA from 1 species